UGAGGAAUAUUGGUCAAUGGGCGGGAGCCUGAACCAGCCAAGCCGCGUGAGGGAUGAAGGCCCUAUGGGUCGUAAACCUCUUUUGUCAGGGAACAAAAGCGAGUAUGUAUACUAGUCUGAGUGUACCUGAAGAAAAACGCAUCGGCUAACUCCGUGCCAGCAGCCGCGGUAAUACGGAGGAUGCGAGCGUUAUCCGGAUUUAUUGGGUUUAAAGGGUGCGUAGGCGGCGAUGCAAGUCAGCGGUAAAACGCCCGGGGCUCAACCCCGGCGAGCCGUUGAAACUGCAGUGCUAGAGAAGGCGAGAGGUACGCGGAAUGCGCAGUGUAGCGGUGAAAUGCUUAGAUAUUGCGCAGAACUCCGAUUGCGAAGGCAGCGUACUGGCGCCUGACUGACGCUGAGGCACGAAAGCGUGGGGAUCGAACAGGAUUAGAUACCC
rnacentral:rRNA from 1 species